GCGGGCGCGCCGACGUUGGAGAGUCGGGGCCGGCUGUAACCCGGUCGCUUUGCUGAGGGGGUUCGAAUCCCUUCGCCCGCA
rnacentral:tRNA from 1 species